GACAGAGGGUGCAAACGUUGCUCGGAAUCACUGGGCGUAAAGGGCGUGUAGGCGGAUAGGUAAGUCGGGCGUGAAAUCCCUGGGCUCAACCCAGGAACUGCACUCGAUACUGCCGUGCUUGAGGACUGGAGAGGAGACUGGAAUUUACGGUGUAGCGGUGAAAAUGCGUAGAUAUCGUAAGGAAGACCAGUGGCGAAGGCGAGUCCCUGGACAACACCUGACACUGAGGCACGAAGGCCCAGGGGGAGC
rnacentral:rRNA from 1 species